rnacentral:misc_RNA from 1 species
GUAAAUAGAAUCUUAGGUCUAAUUUAUUUUCUUUCAAUAAUUAAGCCAUGGAUGAGAUCCAGAAGCAUGAAAAUUCAAUAAAUUAAUUAAUGCAAUCACAAAUAAAUUCAAGAUCCUCAGCACAAUUACUAUAGUUAAACUCCAAAAUAUUUUUGUAAAAACCAAAAGAUCCAACUAAUAAUGGAGGACAUAUGCAUCAUACUCCACAACAGCAUCCCCAGUUUUUGGGUUGUAAGUGUGAGUUCUCGCCUGAACAUACCCACGAGCAAACCUGAACAGCCCACUUCCACCGAUGAUCGGCAUCUCCCUCACGGUUAAAAGCACCACGUUACGCCCCAAAACGCUGAGACCACUUCCAUUAUAUUUGCCUUCCAUGAAAGCAAAGUUCAUAGCCAUUAGCAACCCAUCUUCACUCUGCGAGGCAGACGCAUAAAUCCCUUGUGCUCUACCUACAAGUUUUGAGCUGAUUUCGGGCUUUACAGUUAAGGGGUCAUCGAUCAUCGCCACCAUUCCAAACCCCGUACUGGAGGCGUUAUUGGGUGGUAGGACGACCUUAAUUGCAGAAGGGUUUCGGCCGCUAACUAUGUCAUGGAAGUAGAAGUGGAGGUGGCUUAGCUUCUCUUUCUUGAGACCAAGAUUGGCUGGAGAUAAGGUUCUUGAGAAAUGGUGAGAUUUUGCAGUGGCAAGAGAAAAUGUGUAAACAAUGAAGAGAAAGAGGAAGUCGGAGGUGAGAAUGAGAGUGCCGAGGGGGGUUUUGGCCAUUGUUGUGAUUUGCAAGGGAUCGACUGGGACUAUGAGCCUGUCUACGCCUGAUUUAAGGGGGAAAUUCACAUCCGCUUGAUUUAUUGUAUAUUCAAUUCAUU